rnacentral:rRNA from 1 species
UACGUAGGGUGCGAGCGUUAAUCGGAAUUACUGGGCGUAAAGCGUGCGCAGGCGGUAAUGCAAGACAGAUGUGAAAUCCCCGGGCUUAACCUGGGAACUGCAUUUGUGACUGCAUUGCUGGAGUGCGGCAGAGGGGGAUGGAAUUCCGCGUGUAGCAGUGAAAUGCGUAGAUAUGCGGAGGAACACCGAUGGCGAAGGCAAUCCCCUGGGCCUGCACUGACGCUCAUGCACGAAAGCGUGGGGAGCGAACAGG